rnacentral:lncRNA from 1 species
CUACCAAUGGCUCUCAACAAGGUCUUCAAGGAAUAGAUUAGCAGAAAUAUGAAGGUAUAUAUGGAUGACAUGCUUGUUAAAAGUAGAGCGGAGGAGUACCACAUCACCAAUUUUGAGAAGAUGUUCACCAUCCUACGGUACUUUCUGUUGCCCAACUAUGCAACCCAAGAGGGGGGAGAGAAUUGGGUUUUUAAAAUUUUAAAGUUAAUUUAGAACCACAAG